rnacentral:rRNA from 1 species
UUCGGGAAACCGGAGCUAAUACCGGAUAAUAUUCGAACCGCAUGGUUCGAUAGUGAAAGAUGGUUUUGCUAUCACUUAUAGAUGGACCUGCGCCGUAUUAGCUAGUUGGUAAGGUAACGGCUUACCAAGGCGACGAUACGUAGCCGACCUGAGAGGGUGAUCGGCCACACUGGAACUGAGACACGGUCCAGACUCCUACGGGAGGCAGCAGCC